UACGGAGGGUGCAGGCGUUAUCCGGAUUCACUGGGUUUAAAGGGUGCGUAGGUGGGUCUGUAAGUCAGUGGUGAAAUCUCCGGGCUUAACCCGGAAACUGCCAUUGAUACUAUAGGUCUUGAAUUUUCUGGAGGUCAGCGGAAUAUGUCAUGUAGCGGUGAAAUGCUUAGAUAUGACAUAGAACACCAAUUGCGAAGGCAGCUGGCUACAGGAACAUUGACACUGAGGCACGAAAGCGUGGGGAUCAAACAGG
rnacentral:rRNA from 1 species